GCGUGAGCGACAUGCCCGUUGCCCGGGGACAACCGGUGGAAACGCCGACUAAUCCCCGAUGGGAUAUUGUGCCGCAUGGCACGAUAUUGAAAGUUACGGCGGUGACGGAUUGGCUCGCGUCCGAUUAGCUUGUUGGCGGGGUAACGGCCCACCAAGGCUACGAUCGGUAGGGGUUCUGAGAGGAAGGCCCCCCACAAUGGGACUGAGACACGGCCCAUACUCCUACGGGAGGCAGCAGUGAGGAAUAUUGGUCAAUGGGCGGAAGCCUGAACCAGCCAUGCCGCGUGCGGGAAGGAGGCCCUAUGGGCUGUGAACCGCUUUUGCCUGGGGGCAAUAAGGGCGUCGCGCACGCCCGAUGAGAGUACCAGGCGAAUAAGCAUCGGCUAACUCCGUGCCAGCAGCCGCGGUAAUACGGGGGAUGCGAGCGUUA
rnacentral:rRNA from 1 species